rnacentral:rRNA from 1 species
AGAGUUUUAUCCUGGCUCAGAACGAACGCUGGCGGCGCGUCUUAAGCAUGCAAGUCGGGCGGGAUCCAUGCGCUUGCGCAUGGUGAGAGCGGCGGACUGGCGAGUAACACGUGGGCGACGCGCCCUCCGGACGGGAAUAGCCUGUAGAAAUACAGGGUAAUGCCGGAUGCGAACGCGCGCGCUGGAGGCGCGCGUGGAAAGCCCCCACGGGGGCGCCGGAGGAGCGGCCCGCGGCCCAUCAGCUUGUAGGCGGUGCAAGGGACCACCUAGGCUACGACGGGUACCCGGCCUCAGAGGGCGGACGGGCGCAUUGGGACUGAGAUACGGCCCAGACUCCUACGGGAGGCAGCAGCUAAGAAUAUUCCGCAAUGGGGGGAACCCUGACGGAGCGACGCCGCGUGGGCGAGGAAGGCCGGAAGGUUGUAAAGCCCUUUUGCGCGCGAGGAAUAAGGGGAGGAGGGAAUGCCUUCCCGGUGACUGUAGCGCGCGAAUAAGCGCCGUCUAAUUACGUGCCAGCAGCCGCGGUAACACGUAAGGCGCGAGCGUUGUUCGGAAUCAUUGGGCGUAAAGGGCGUGUAGGCGGCCCUGCAAGCCUGGCGUGAAAUCCCGGGGCUCAACCCCGGAACCGCGCUGGGAACUGCUGGGCUGGAGCCGCUGUGGCGCAGCCGGAAUUCCAGGUGUAGGGGUGAAAUCUGUAGAUACCUGGAAGAACACCGAUGGCGAAGGCAGGCUGCGAGCGGACGGCUGACGCUGAGGCGCGAAGGCGCGGGGAGCGAACAGGAUUAGAUACCCUGGUAGUCCGCGCAGUAAACGAUGCACACUGGGUGUCCGGGCAUGAGCCCGGGUGCCGAAGCGAACGCGUUAAGUGUGCCGCCUGGGGAGUAUGCCCGCAAGGGUGAAACUCAAAGGAAUUGACGGGGGCCCGCACAAGCAGAGGAACAUGUGGUUUAAUUCGAAGCAACGCGAAGAACCUUACCAGGGCUUGACAUCCAACUAACGAAGCAGAGAUGCAUUAGGUGCCCUUCGGGGAAAGUUGAGACAGGUGGUGCAUGGUUGUCGUCAGCUCGUGUCGUGAGAUGUUGGGUUAAGUCCCGCAACGAGCGCAACCCCUAUUGUUAGUUGCUACGCAAGAGCACUCUAGCGAGACUGCCGUUGACAAAACGGAGGAAGGUGGGGACGACGUCAAAUCAUCAUGCCCCUUAUGUCCUGGGCUACACACGUAAUACAAUGGCGUCCUACAAAGGGAAGCAAAACCGCGAGGUAGAGCAAAUCCCCAAAGGACGUCUCAGUUCGGAUUGCAGGCUGCAACUCGCCUGUAUGAAGUCGGAAUUGCUAGUAAUCGUGGAUCAGCAUGCCACGGCGAAUACGUUACCGGGCCUUGUACACACCGCCCGUCA